rnacentral:rRNA from 1 species
GAGUUGGUGGAUUGAUUUGUCAGGUUGAUUCCGACAACGAACGAGAUCCAAGCUUUCUAGUUCAGGGCCCUCUAUUGUUUUGGGGGCCUUCAGGUUAGAAGGAUGGUGUUGGCUUACAACAAUGAAAGGUUGGGCGAUAACAGG